UACGUAGGGUGCAGGCGUUGUCCGGAAUUAUUGGGCGUAAAGAGCGUGUAGGCGGCCCGAUUAGUCCGCUGUGAAAGUCCAGGGCUCAACCCUGGAAUGCCGGUGGAUACUGUCGGGCUAGAGUCCGGAAGGGGCGAGUGGAAUUCCUGGUGUAGCGGUGAAAUGCGCAGAUAUCAGGAGGAACACCAAUGGCGAAGGCAGCUCGCUGGGACGUGACUGACGCUGAGACGCGAAAGCGUGGGGAGCAAACAGG
rnacentral:rRNA from 1 species